UACGUAGGGGGCGAGCGUUGUCCGGAUUUAUUGGGCGUAAAGAGCUCGUAGGCGGCUGUUCGAGUCGGGUGUGAAAUCCUGAGGCUUAACCUUGGGUCUGCAUUCGAUACUACUCAGCUAGAGUAUGGGAGAGGGUAAUGGAAUUCCCGGUGUAGCGGUGAAAUGCGUAGAUAUCGGGAGGAACAUCAGUGGCGAAGGCGGCUACCUGGCCCAAUACUGACACUCAGGUGCGAACGAGCGUGGGGGAGCAAACAGGAUUAGAACCUACCGUA
rnacentral:rRNA from 1 species